rnacentral:rRNA from 1 species
UAUACCGUGAAACUGCGAAUGGCUCAUUAAAUCAGUUAUCGUUUAUUUGAUAGUACCUUACUACUUGGAUAACCGUGGUAAUUCUAGAGCUAAUACAUGCUAAAAACCUCGACUUCGGAAGGGGUGUAUUUAUUAGAUAAAAAACCAAUGCCCUUCGGGGCUCCUUGGUGAUUCAUAAUAACUUAACGAAUCGCAUGGCCUUGUGCCGGCGAUGGUUCAUUCAAAUUUCUGCCCUAUCAACUUUCGAUGGUAUGGUCUUGGCUUACCAUGGUUUCAACGGGUAACGGGGAAUUAGGGUUCUAUUCCGGAGAGGGAGCCUGAGAAACGGCUACCACAUCCAAGGAAGGCAGCAGGCGCGCAAAUUACCCAAUCCCGACACGGGGAGGUAGUGACAAUAAAUACUGAUACAGGGCUCUUUUGGGUCUUGUAAUUGGAAUGAGUACAAUUUAAAUCCCUUAACGAGGAACAAUUGGAGGGCAAGUCUGGUGCCAGCAGCCGCGGUAAUUCCAGCUCCAAUAGCGUAUAUUAAAGUUGUUGCAGUUAAAAAGCUCGUAGUUGAACCUUGGGCCUGGUUGGCCGGUCCGCCUCACCGCGUGCACUGGUCCGACCGGGUCUUUCCUUCUGAGGAGCCGCAUGCCCUUCACUGGGUGUGUCGGGGAAUCAGGACUUUUACUUUGAAAAAAUUAGAGUGUUCAAAGCAGGCCUAUGCUCGAAUACAUUAGCAUGGAAUAAUAGAAUAGGACGUGUGGUUCUAUUUUGUUGGUUUCUAGGACCGCCGUAAUGAUUAAUAGGGACAGUCGGGGAUAUCAGUAUUCAAUUGUCAGAGGUGAAAUUCUUGGAUUUAUUGAAGACUAACUACUGCGAAAGCAUUUAUCAAGGAUGUUUUCAUUAAUCAGUGAACGAAAGUUAGGGGAUCGAAGACGAUCAGAUACCGUCGUAGUCUUAACCAUAAACUAUGCCGACUAGGGAUCGGGCGAUGUUAUCUUUUUGACUCGCUCGGCACCUUACGAGAAAUCAAAGUC